GGCCGUGUGCCCGAGUGGUUCAGGGAUUCGCCUGCAAAGCGAAUUACGCGGGUUCGAUUCCCGCCACGGCCUCCA
rnacentral:tRNA from 6 species